CAGCCAGCUCCUUCUAAUCUUGGAAUGCAAGUGUUUCAUUGUUUUGAAUCAUAAAAGUCUGCACACUCAGAACUCCAGAUGAAAGCAUGUUACCUGUUAUGUGAUGCAAUCAGUGCAAUCAGGUGUCUUUCUUGUGUGUACAAAGAAAGAUACUUCACACAGCUGUAGAACGGGAGUCACCACAAACCGCUGCACACUAUCUAACUUGCACAAAUACACUGGUCUGCGGUGUUUCACUUCUCGACCAUCAUCAGGCAAAGCAAGGUCUGGAUCCACACCCGACUCUCUCCUCCAAACUGGCCAGUUCCGAUCAGCUCUGAUCAGCAUCUUCUCAUGGGCGAGAGGCUAACUAAGCCAGCUGACAUCGCAGAUGAAGAAGCCGCCAUCAGUGUUGACUUCCCACCUGGAGAUGACACCAGGACUUCUGCACUCUGUUAAUAACAUGCUAACAUUAAACG